rnacentral:lncRNA from 1 species
CCUUGUUGACAUGAGCCAUGAGGUCAUCUCCUUCUUCCAUCUUUACUCUUAAGAACUUCCUUCUUAUCCAUAGAAUAUUGGCAAGUUUUCUACUCUCAUAGAUGUUACAAAGAGUCUUUUAUGCUUUUGCUAGUCCAGUGCAAGCAAUUACAUGUGAAAAAUUUGCAUCAUCAAGAUUUAUUACAAUCAUGCCAAAAGCCUUCGUUUUAUAUUUUUUGUACUCCUUCUUCACCUUCACAUCAGCAUCGUCACUUGGAAGGUCUUCACUUUCAUCAACAAUGUCCCAAAGGUCUAAUGAAGCUAACAAGAGCUCCAGUUUCUUCUUCCAAUGGUAGAAGUUGUCACCUCUAAACUUCUCAAUUACUCUCAAACCCUCACCCUCACUUGCUGCCAUGUCUAAAGAAGGGGUGUAUCAAAGAAAAUCAAGAAAAAAAAAGAAUGAACUUUCAAAAUUAACAAGAAGAUGUUGCUACCUUAGAAAUCCAAAAUGCCCUCUUAAUGAGUAAACUAUUGUUUACACUCUUCAAUCACUUUUAACUUUACUUAUAUGACUUCUCACAAGUUCGAUAAUCUCUAGUAUAAGCUUUGCCUCUCUUUAAUCACUUGUCUUCUUUCACAAAACACUUCUAACCUCACAAAGCACCUCUUAUCACAAUAAGAGAGUCUCUUAAGGAGAUUAAUACAUAUAAGCACAAAGUUAGAGCACCAAUAAUGAAACUCAGCAAUGAAACACAACACAAGUAUCUUUAAAUAUCAAUCUAAGGUAUCUAACAACCUCCAAGAUUAUGAAUGCAUUUAACAACAAAUAAGAGCAUAAUUACAUCAAUAACUAGAUGCAAAAAGAGAUUUAGAAGACACCAAACCUUAACAUCAACAAGAACCAUAAGAUCUACUCUUAACACCAACAAAGACUUCAAAGAACUUCAAAAUUCACAACUAAAGGUAUGUGGAUCCAUAACCUAUUGAAGAACAAGUACUUUGAAGUCACAACACUUAGCAUCAGUAAGGUUGCACACAAAAUGGAGUAUGGAGUAAGAUAAUUCU